GCUCAUUUUGGCUGAACAUAUACUAAAAUUGGAAUGAUACAGAGAAUAUUAGCAUGGUCCGUGUGCAAAGAUGACAUGCAAAUUCGUGAAGUAGAUAUCUUUAAA